AUCAUUUGUUAUAUGGGAUUGUAAGAUCUUUUAUAUUAGUUUAUUAAUUCUUUAUUGGUUGCUCUCUCUUUCUCUUUUACACAUGCACACACACACACACAAGGGCUCAGUUUUGCAAUCAAUAAAUUUGAAAAUCAAAUUUGUUUCCUCAAGGGGAUGCCCUUUCGCACUUGGAAAUGGACUCAUAGGUUCAAAUUCCAUUAGAUUGGGGUUGGAGGACCUCAAAAUAUAAAUGAAUAAAGUGUUGUCUGGGUGUUAUAAUGCUCAACAUCACAACCUGGUCUGACCCCCUCCUCUUCAAAGGGGACAAGGAGUUCCUGUUAGUGUCACAUAUGCUUAGGUUGUUUAGUGUUUCCAUAUAUUCCAUUUGAUUAUGUCUAAGAGUAAUUUGAUGAACUUAUACUCUGUUUCUUACUUUAUUUAUAUCACAACACAAAAGUCAAACUGAAAUUUACAGGUAAACAAGAGCAAG
rnacentral:misc_RNA from 1 species